UUGGGGCGGGGAGUCAAUGGCGACGGAUUUGGGGAGAGGGGUGGGGACGGCGGGUUUGGGGGGCCGAAGUGGGUGGGAGGGGAGGGAAGCCGUGUGGGAACGCAGAGGUCACGGGUUUUAGAAUGCAGAAAGGGUUAGAGUAAUAGCGGAUUUGGGAGAGGGUGGAAGGAACAAGCGAUUUGGGGGGUGCCAAGGAGGGGGCGAUGGUCUGGAAAAACAUAUUUGGGAAGUAAAGGAGUGGGGACGAUGGACUUGGGAUAGGGAAGGGAACGAAUUUGGGAUGAGGGAAGAAGCAACAUAAUUGGGGGAGGGGCGAGAAGUUUGGGUGAAGAGAUGGGGAGGAAGGUUGGGGGCCCGGGCGAAGUGUUUAGAGGCUGAGGAGCACAUAUUUGGGGUAGAGGGGAACGGGGGCUCUGGAUUUGGUAGAGAUGGAUGUAAAACGUCGUGGGGUGGGGACAAAGUGGGCACCAGGGCCAGAAAUUUAGGAGGGAAAGAAGGACACCAGACUGGGGGUGGACAGAGAAGACAGGUCUUGGGUUUCAUUGUGAUUUAAUUUGGUGGGAGAGUGCGAAGGCAAAGAAUUUUGCAGGGGAAUGCUAUCGGUUUACCGGAGAUGGGGGCUCUGGAUUUGAUGGCGACGACAGAUUUGGUAGGAGGAGGGGACAGGGUGACGCGUAUGGGGGGAGGGGAACAGAUAGGGCCAGCAUUGGGGGAGGGGCGUGGCAGCGAUUUGUCUAGAGAGGGAAGCUAGGAGCAGGCUUUAAGCGGGGAAGGGGAUGACGCAUUUGGAGGAGGAAAUGGAAGUCAAUAGUUGGGGUCAGAGAGGAAUCACAGUGCUUGUAUCUGGGCAGAUGAGGAGAAGGAGGACGGGAGUAUUGAAAUUGGGCAGAAGGGACAGUGGAGACAUAGGUGGCAGGAUAGGUAGGGAUUACCAGAAAUUGAGACCGAGGUAGGGAUGUCUCUAGAACGGAGGGAUGCAUGGGCACUUGGCAGAUUUGGUGGUGGCCAGCAAUGCGGAACAGAUGAAGUGUGCUGCUUGAGAGGAGUGAGCUGGAAUGAAGGGCGUGUGGAGGUGUGAGAAUUAGGUGGGUGUGGCUGGGAUGGGUACAGUUUUGAUGGGGGUCAUUAGGCCAGAAUGUUCCAGUUAAGAAGAGUGGGAGGAGGAAGGUUAAAAAUUGAAGUGGAGACCCAUCCAAGAUUUCAGUUGAGGCAGGUGGGUGUCAGAUUUUACCAUCUCUAUAAUUGAACUGAGAGAAUGCAAAAUACAACUGGAAUGAGAAGGCCUUGAGAAUGAGAGUAGUUGAAAUCUGGGAUCUGAGGAAUGGUAAUAGAUUUGUGGGUGUGACCAGGAAUAUGACAAGGAAUGAGGAGAUUCAGUCAGGGGCAUCAAGGUGCCUGACUAGACCCUAAUUGUGACAGAUUUGAAAACUGUUGAUGGCGGAAGGUGUAGACCAAGACUGGCAUUUGGUUGUGAUUUGGAAAUGAGGGCUGUCUUACAGGGGUAAGAUUGUAUUUACAGCAGUUGAACUCGAAGUUUGGGAGAUAAAUUGGUGCUUUGGAACUGGUGGGACCUGAGAAGUGAGGGUUCUGGAAACUGAUGGAAUGAGGCUAGGAGUUUAGGGUACAGGUGGGAGAGUCUGUGGAGUGAAGGAUGCUAGAGCACAAGGGCUCAAUGUGAGGGAAAUGAAGAAGUGUCUUCAUCAUUUGGACAACGGCGGAUCUGGUUUGAAGGAACAUUGAAAUAAGGGUGGUUUGGGAAGGGAAUGGGGUAAUGAAGGACUCUAAAGCAUGAGAAGAACUAGAUGGUGGGCAGGUAAGGAUGGAUGAGCCCCAUUGAAGGACCAGAGAGGUGCCUGUCUGAUUUGGACCCCGUUGGUGUUGAGUGUAACAUAUAUUAAGGGAUGUAGGGUGAUUGAGGAGAGAACGCAGCUGAGGAUGUGUUUGAGGAGCACCUGGAAUUUGAGGUAAUAGUUUGCUAAGCCUGGGAAUGGGAGGAAUAGACGUGGAGGUGUCUGCAGUAGAUUUGGUAAGAAAUUUGAGUUUGGCGUGCACUUUGGAAUGGACGACUUAAUGGCUGACCUGUCUGAGGUUUGGGUAUGAUGUGUUUUCUUAUUGCCACAUUUGGAAUUGAGGUUGGGGUGAAGUUUUUCAUUGGGAGAUGAGAAUAACUGAGAUUUGUUCUGAGAUGGGAGUAGCGUUUGAAGUACAUACAGAUGUUUCUACUGGGAAUAUCUGGGAUUUGAAUAUAAGAAUGUUGGGGUGUGGGUGUGACUUGGACUGUGGUUGGGCAGUGUCUGGGACCAGGCAUUUCUGUUCAUUGGGAGAUUACGUGCUGCCUGUGGUUAGAGACACUGACGAGCUUUCUGGUGUUUUGAUGGGGAAAACACGAACAAGAGCCACAUUAGAAUUUGUGGGA